UUAUUUUCCCUUUCCAUAUUUAGUAGUUUAAAUAAUGAAUGAUUCAGUUAGAGGAUCACUAUUAUUGUUUGAAUAUUCGUGAAUUUGUAUGAGUUGAUAUUUUCCUAUUAUGCAUGCAAUCGAAAUUUUAUGAAUAUUGGUUCUUAGAUUUAUGUAUUAAUGCAUUGUGGUUGACUACCCCUCGAGUUAGUCAGUUUUCAAAAAUAGAGUUUCCGAGUGGAAAACAGUUUUAAAAGAUUUUCGAAUGAUUUUUAUGGAUAAUCAAAUAGAGUUUAAAAACAAAGCUUCUGGGUGGGAAGCACUUUUAAAUAGGAUGAUUGUUGUAUCGUGCAUCGCAUCAUCCAGCGCCUAAGAAAUAUUUAGAGGCAUGCAUCAUCUCUAAGGAUCGCUAGCUGUAUGAAAAUACAUUGCAUUAAUUACUUGUGGAUUGGUAAGUGUAGCUUGUGGUUGUGAUCUUGUUGUUGUUAUCGUUGGGUGCGCCGUGCAAAUAGAAGGGAGACUCUAUUCGUGUGAACAGAAGAACUUUAUGUUUGUGGCGGGUCUAUACGCCACAUGGGCCAGGUUGAGUUCAAAAAAAAAUAAUGGCACGUUUUCCGCAACUCUGGUUUCUAAAAUAGUAUUCAUUAUAAAAAGGCUUUUAAAAUCGGCCCUGGGGUGUAACAUAUGCGGAACGCAAUAUUACGUACGGAAACAAAUAGGGUUUUUUUUUCAUCGUACUUUCUCACUGCACAUAACGCAAUCUCUUGGCAAUCCUAAACAAAGCCUCAGUCAAAAGCUCUAUAGUUUUAACCAAAAUCAAUUCUCCAAACCAAAAUUUAUUAUACAAAAAUUAUUUUUUUAGAAUUUAG
rnacentral:lncRNA from 1 species